rnacentral:rRNA from 1 species
AUACCCGCUGAACUUAAGCAUAUCAAUAAGCGGAGGAAAAGAAACCAACAGGGAUUGCCCUAGUAACGGCGAGUGAAGCGGCAACAGCUCAAAUUUGAAAUCUGGCCCUAGCGGUCCGAGUUGUAAUUUGUAGAGGAUGCUUUUGGUUAGGUGCCUUCUGAGUUCCCUGGAACGGGACGCCAGAGAGGGUGAGAGCCCCGUACGGUUGGACACCGAGCCUCUAUAUAGCUCCUUCGACGAGUCGAGUAGUUUGGGAAUGCUGCUCUAAAUGGGAGGUAAAUUUCUUCUAAAGCUAAAUACCGGCCAGAGACCGAUAGCGCACAAGUAGAGUGAUCGAAAGAUGAAAAGUACUUUGAAAAGAGGGUUAAAUAGCACGUGAAAUUGUUGAAAGGGAAGCGUUUGCGACCAGACUUUUUCCAGGCGGAUCAUCCGGUGUUCUCACCGGUGCACUUCGCCUGGUUUAGGCCAGCAUCGGUUCUCUUAGGGGGAUAAAGGCCUGGGGAACGUAGCUCCUUCGGGAGUGUUAUAGCCCCUAGCGUAAUACCCUUCGGGGGACCGAGGAACGC